AAAGCUCUGAAAAUAGUCAUUCAGUGUUCAAAGCUUCUUUCAGACACAACAGUAAUCCAGUUUUAUCCAAGCAAAUUUGUCUUAAUUACAGAUAUACUUGAUACUUUCGGUAAACUAGUGUAUGAAAGAAUUCUGUCAAUGUGCAUGGACAGUCGUGUCUCUUUAUCAGGUAGCUUUGUUUUGCUUUUUUCUUCCUAAUGUCCUGUGGAAUAAAUCGUAUCGGAACCUAUUUGAGAAAAGUUAACCAGGACCCCUGCCUUUAUCUCUUGCAAAAACAGUUCUGCUUUGGGUCCAGUAAACUUUAUUUAAAACUAAAGCAUCCAUUGCUUGUAGCUUCCACCAUUCAUAGUGUUUUUGCAAGUUUACCUUUUAGCUGUGAACAACAUAUCUGAAGUGUAAUAAAAUGGGCUUGUGGUUUUGGUCUUGCUAAACGUAACCUCGUCUUCCUGAGACUUGAGUUCACAAAGAAUCAUUUCUAAGCACAGGGAGAGUUAAACAUGAAUUGCCAAAUUACAUGAGGGAAGAUUGUUUUUUUUUCUUUUCUGUUAGCAUGUGCUGUCAUCUUAAAGUCCUGCUUCUUAAUAGUUUAAUUUGUAUCAAUUUAACAGACUAAGCUGAGAGGCUCAGUUUUCAGUAAAUAGAUGUUUUUGUUAAUAGUUCUGCUUUCA